rnacentral:lncRNA from 1 species
GAGUAAACUGUCAAAACUUAAAACUUACUUACUUUACCUUCACCAUGGGACUUGUAACUGUCACUUCUGUCUUGAGUAGUUAAAAGAUAGAACAGUCUAGUCAAGUGCCAUGUCUCUUAUUCUUGAUCAGCUAUAGUUCUAAAGUUUUUGCAGAUUUUCAAAUAAAAUUCAGAGAUUCCUUAUAUGAUUCUCUCAGAUCUCUCUUUUGUGGUAUUUUUGGAUCCUUACCAAGGCAGUGAUGGUAUAUGCCUUCUCUCAAAAAGUAUGUGGUAUUUGUGGAAUAAAGCAUAGUGACAUCGUCUUCUCUCUCACCCUACUCUAAUAAGGCUUUAAUAUCUGGAGCUCAUAGGUGGGAGAUAAAGUAUACAUACUUACAAGACAUGUAUUGUAUAGUCAAACCAUGGAUCCAAAGAAACAAAUCAAUAAGUCAAAUCAAGAUGUGCAUGUGUGGCGAAUGAAUGGUGUAUGGUGAUGAUGGUGAUAACAAUGGUGAAAGUCUAAUUCUACUUUUGCUCUUCGAGGGGAUACAUACCUUCCUUGCUUUCUGAAACUUUAUGAGGAGAAUGAGAUGCUCUUCAUUUUCUUUUCUUUCCUCUCAGGUGGGUAUCUUGUACCCCUAAUUCUACUGUCGGACACUUGUCCAUUUUUACCUCUCGUCUCACUUUUUCUUUAAUUUCGAGGUUCCGAGCACUUGCUCCUUUUUAUUUCCUCGUAUUUUUUUAGAGCACUCAUCUCUUGAGAUAAUAUAGCAAGUGGUAGUAACAAGAUAACUUGAGCAUUUAUUUCACAAGGGAAAACAGAAAUAUUUUUGGCUAUUCUCUCCCGGAUUAGGAGUAGAAUAUUUUUAGGUGAUUCUGGAGAUAGAAAUGGACGGAUAUAUGUGGAUGGUACUUCCGGAAUAGAAGUAGCAUAUAUGAGUGAACGUGCAAGUGAAUCUUGAUUUAACCACAUGACAUGCUCCUAAGGGUCUACACAGCUUGACC